rnacentral:tRNA from 1 species
AGUCCAAUAGUUUAAUGGUUAUGACGUAUCCUUCACACGGAUAAGAUCCCGGUUCAAUUCCGGGUUGGACUA